rnacentral:sRNA from 1 species
AAUAUUUUUCGGCUCUAUACUUUACUAUAUUACUACGGUCAGCUUGCCUCUAUCACCCCCCUUCUGGGGGUGGGCAAACAACCCUCUAAAUCCCAGGGGAGCUUCAUGGAACAUGCAGCUGGGGCAGGACGGAGCAAGAAGCUCUUAGGGUAUUAUAUAUGUCAUCGAUGAAUAUAAUUGCUAUAUAUAAUUGCUCACAACCCAUAUCUCUACAUGUUGUAUGCCCAGUACACUGAACAUCAGAACAAGGUAUAAUCCGCUGUAGUAAUGAAUGAUGUCUUAUUGGAGAAAAUAUUCUUUGACUCUUCUGUAAAAGUGGGAGGGGAUAAAGA